AGGGCUGUAGCUCACUGGUGUAAGCAUCUGCUUUGCAAGCAGAAGGUCCUAAAUUCAAUCCCCAACAGCUUCA